GUUAUUGAUCAUGGCUCAGAUUGCNCGCUCGGUUUGCACAGCUUAACACAUGCAAGUCGAGCGGGAAGGGUAGCUUGCUACCUAACCUAGCGGCGGACGGGUGAGUAAUGCUUAGGAAUCUGCCAUUUAGUGGGGGACAACAUUCCGAAAGGAAUGCUAAUACCGCAUACGUCCUACGGGAGAAAGCAGGGGAUCUUCGGACCUUGCGCUAAAUGAUGAGCCUAAGUCGGAUUAGCUAGUUGGUGGGGUAAAGGCCUACCAAGGCGACGAUCUGUAGCGGGUCUGAGAGGAUGAUCCGCCACACUGGGACUGAGACACGGCCCAGACUCCUACGGGAGGCAGCAGUGGGGAAUAUUGGACAAUGGGCGGAAGCCUGAUCCAGCCAUGCCGCGUGUGUGAAGAAGGCCUUUUGGUUGUAAAGCACUUUAAGCGAGGAGGAGGCUACUAGUACUAAUACUACUGGAUAGUGGACGUUACUCGCAGAAUAAGCACCGGCUAACUCUGUGCCAGCAGCCGCGGUAAUACAGAGGGUGCGAGCGUUAAUCGGAUUUACUGGGCGUUAAGCGUGCGUAGGCGGCUUUUAAGUCGGAUGUGAAUCCCCGAAGCUUAAACUUUGGGAAUUGCAUUCGAUUACUGGGAAGGCCUAAGAAGUAUUGGGAGAGGGAUUGGGUUGCAAUUCCNAGGUGUUACCGGUGAAAAUNGCG
rnacentral:rRNA from 1 species